rnacentral:rRNA from 1 species
GUCUUUCUGUAUUAAAUAUAAAGUCUAACCUGCCCACUGAAUUUUAAAUGGCCGCAGUAUACUAACUGUGCAAAGGUAGCAUAAUCAUUAGUCUUUUAAUUGAAGGCUGGUAUGAAUGGUUGGACGAGAUAUUAACUGUUUCAUUUAAAUUUAUAAUAGAAUUUUAUUUUUUAGUCAAAAAGCUAAAAUUUAUUUAAAAGACGAGAAGACCCUAUAAAUCUUUAUAUUUUGUUUAUAUUAAUUAAUUAGAUGAAUUUUAUUAUUAUAAAUUAAAAUAUUUUAUUGGGGUGAUAUUAAAAUUUAAAAAACUUUUAAUUUGUAAAAACAUUAAUUUAUGAAUAUUUGAUCCAUUUAUAAUGAUUAAAAAUUUAAGUUACUUUAGGGAUAACAGCGUAAUUUUUUUGGAGAGUUCAUAUCGAUAAAAAAGAUUGCGACCUCGAUGUUGGAUUAAGAUAUAAUUUUAGGCGCAGCCGUUUAAAUUUUAAGUCUGUUCGACUUUUAAU